rnacentral:rRNA from 1 species
GAUGAACGCUGGCGGCGUGCCUAAUACAUGCAAGUCGAGCGAACAGACGAGGAGCUUGCUCCUCUGACGUUAGCGGCGGACGGGUGAGUAACACGUGGAUAACCUACCUAUAAGACUGGGAUAACUUCGGGAAACCGGAGCUAAUACCGGAUAAUAUAUUGAACCGCUUGGUUCAAUAGUGAAAGACGGUUUUGCUGUCAUUUAUAGAUGGAUCCGCGCCGCAUUAGCUAGUUGGUAAGGUAACGGCUUACCAAGGCAACGAUGCGUAGCCGACCUGAGAGGGUGAUCGGCCACACUGGAACUGAGACACGGUCCAGACUCCUACGGGAGGCAGCAGUAGGGAAUCUUCCGCAAUGGGCGAAAGCCUGACGGAGCAACGCCGCGUGAGUGAUGAAGGUCUUCGGAUCGUAAAACUCUGUUAUUAGGGAAGAACAAAUGUGUAAGUAACUAUGCACGUCUUGACGGUACCUAAUCAGAAAGCCACGGCUAACUACGUG